GGAUCUGUGAUCACACCAGUGUUGCAGAAGGCAGAUUCCCUAACUGGUGGUCCACUACAAAAGAAUGAUGGCAGCCAUUUCAGUGAAAAGGAUCAGCAUGAAAGCAGACCUGCAAAGAAAAUUUCUAAGAAAAAGAACAAGGUCAAAAAGCAAAUUACUUCUAUGGAUGACCUUGUCGUCUUCAUUCAGUCAUCUGAAACAGCUUCAGAGCAUUGUGAGUUGCCUUACUCUAAGAAUUUCAUGUUGCUGAUUGAACAACUUGGCAUGGAUUGUAAAGAUUAUGCUGGCUUCUUGAAAAUCCAAGAUAUACUUGUUUCCUAUGAGAAAUUAUGGAAACUUAACAAAAUCACUGUAAACUUCUUACAGGAAAAAUGACAAAAAUGGAAAAAAUGGUUAGUGCACUAUAAAAUGAGCUAUGAGAAGCCAAAGACAUGCUAUCACGGUUAGAGCAUCAAAAAGUGGAAUGGGAACAUGAAUUCUACAGUUUGAGGUAUAGCAUCUUGGCUUUAAGGAAAUAUUUCAGCUCUUUCCUUUUAUACUACAGAUGUGUAGGGGCAGUUUUGUAAUUGCUGACCUACCUUAUGGGAUUUUCCCGGAAAGAAUACUUGUUUAGUGUUGCGAGGUAUGCGAUUCUUGGAAAUAACACAGCAAUUUCUUAACAGUGAAUACUUCUAAUAAUUUAAUGUAUAUUCCAAAUCACAAUUUUAAUGGCCAUAUAAAAGUCCACCAUAGUCCAAGAAACAUCAUUAUUUAAGAGAUUGAAUUCUGCUUGUUUUUCAUCUUUCUGUAUUUUAAUCAAUGCUGUCAGGAAUGUCUUUUAUAGAAAUCUGUUGCUACAUGUCUGAUUACUCACUUGGAAUCAAUUCUUCAAUAUAAUAUAAUCUGGUUAAAGUAUAAAAAUUUCACAAAAGGUCUUUGUUCCAUAUUUUUAAAUUGUUCUCAGGAAAGUUUAUAUUACUUUCUGUACCUACCAACAGAGUAUAAAAUGGUCAUUUUUCUCAAGACAGUAAAAUUCCCCAAAAUUGAUUCCGUUUGCUUCUUAACAUGCAGGGGUUAAAAGGUAAAGUGGGGGUGCCUGGGUGGCUCAGUUGGUUAAGCAUCUGGCUUCGGCUCAGGUGAUGAUCU